rnacentral:rRNA from 1 species
GACAAACGUUGGCGGUGCGUCUUAGACAUGCAAGUCGAGCGUGAAAGCCCGCAAGGGUGAGUAAAGCGGCGAACGGGUGAGUAAUACUUGGGUAAUGUACCUCCUAGAUCGGGAUAACGCGCCGAAAGGCGUGCUAAUACCGGAUAUGACCACGGCCCCUAUGGGGGCUGAGGUAAAAGAUGGCGCAAGCUAUCACUGGGAGAUCGGCUCAAGCACCAUUAGCUAGUUGGCGGGGUAAUGGCCCACCAAGGCUACGAUGGUUAGCCGGCC